rfam:Pygathrix bieti haplotype M24 D-loop, partial sequence; mitochondrial.
GUAUUCUAAGGGGGCACAACCACAAAGUACAAUUUAAGUAUAACCUAAUCUUAUAUGCCCCUAUGUAAUUCGUGCAUUACUGCUAGUCACCAUGGAUAUUAUAUA